UACGUAGGGUGCGAGCGUUACUCGGAAUUACUGGGCGUAAAGCGUGCGUAGGCGGUUCGUUAAGUCCGCUGUGAAAGCCCCGGGCUCAACCUGGGAACUGCGUUUGAAACUACAAGGCUAGAGUGUGGCAGAGGGGGGUGGAAUUCCACGUGUAGCAGUGAAAUGCGUAGAGAUGUGGAGGAACACCGAUGGCGAAGGCAGCCCCCUGGGUUAACACUGACGCUCAGGCACGAAAGCGUGGGGAGCAAACAGG
rnacentral:rRNA from 1 species